GACGAACGCUGGCGGCGUGCUUAACACAUGCAAGUCGAACGGAAAGGCCCUGCUUUUGUGGGGUGCUCGAUUGGCGAACGGGUGAGUAACACGUGAGUAACCGGCCCUUGACUUUGGUAUAACUUCAGGAAACUGGGGCUAAUACCGGAUAGGAGCUCCUGCUGCAUGGUGGGGGUUGGAAAGUUUCGGCGGUUGGGGAUGGACUCGCGGCUUAUCAGCUUGUUGGUGGGGUAGUGGCUUACCAAGGCUUUGACGGGUAGCCGGCCUGAGAGGGUGACCGGCCACAUUGGGACUGAGAUACGGACCAGACUGCAACGGGAGGCAGCAGUGGGGAAUAUUGCCCAAUGGGCGGAAGCCUGAUGAAGAGACGCCGCGUGCGGGAUGACGGCCUUCGGGUUGUAAACAGCUGUCGCCUGUGACGAAGCGUGAGUGACGGUAAUGGGUAAAGAAGCACCGGCUAACUACGUG
rnacentral:rRNA from 1 species